rnacentral:rRNA from 1 species
UACACUCCUGCGGGAGGCAGCAGUGGGGAAUUUUGGACAAUGGGGGCAACCCUGAUCCAGCAAUGCCGCGUGAGUGAAGAAGGCCUUCGGGUUGUAAAGCUCUUUUGUCAGGGAAGAAACGGUGGUGGCGAAUAACUACUACUAAUGACGGUACCUGAAGAAUAAGCACCGGCUAACUACGUGCCAGCAGCCGCGGUAAUACGUAGGGUGCAAGCGUUAAUCGGAAUUACUGGGCGUAAAGCGUGUGCAGGCGGUUGUGUAAGUCAGAUGUGAAAUCCCCGGGCUCAACCUGGGAAUUGCAUUUGAGACUGCACGGCUAGAGUGUGUCAGAGGGGGGUAGAAUUCCACGUGUAGCAGUGAAAUGCGUAGAUAUGUGGAGGAAUACCGAUGGCGAAGGCAGCCCCCUGGGAUAACACUGACGCUCAUGCACGAAAGCGUGGGGAGCAAACAGGAUUAGAUACCCGAGUAGUCCCAUGAU